rnacentral:lncRNA from 13 species
AUGUCCUCCCACGCCAGAUCUGCCAGGGGAGCUCAGAAAUGCCUGCCACAGAGUUUCAGUUCAUGCACCCCUCCCAACCUGCCUGGCACUCCCAGGCACAUCCACACCUGCCCACAAACACACCCUCCCUCACACACACAAAUCUCAUGCAUGCUAACGCCUGUGCACACCAAUUCACACAUACACAACUCACACACCGACUCACACGUACACAACUCACAGACACAACAACUCACAUAUAUACAACUCACACACCAACUCAUACAUGCCAACUCUGACUCACACACACCAACUCACACAUAUACGACAUACACCAACUCACACAUACACAACUCACAUGCGUACCAACUCAUACACAGCAACUCACACAUACACAAUUCACACACCAACUCAUACAUGCCAACUCACACCGACUCACACACACACACACCAACUCACACAUAUACAACUCAUACACCAACUCACAUACACACCAACUCACAUGCCAGCUCACACACUGACACACAGCAACUCACAUGCACAUCAACUCACACACAUACCAACUCAUACACAAGCCACUCAUACAACACACAUCAACUCACACAACUCACACUAACACACAGCAACUCACACACUAAUUCACACGCACAGCAACUCACACACCAACUCACAUACACACACACACACAACUCACAUGCACACAAACACACACAACUCACACGCCAACUCACACACACAACUCACAUGCACACAAACACACACAGAACUCACACGCCAAUUCACACAUACAACUCACAUGCACACAAACAACUCACAUGCCAACUCACACACAACUCACAAGCACACCAACUCACACACACAUAUAUACGACUCACAUCAACUCACACCACACACUAUCACACACACCCUCAGACACCCUCUCACAUACACCCUCACUCACACACAUCAACUCCCAUGCACACCAACUCCCUUCCAUGCACCCACCCUCCCUCAUACACAACUCACACACAGACCCAUGUACACACCCUCAUCCCAUCUAACACAACCUCACACAUACCAACUCACAUGCACACACCCUCACUCCCAACACGACCUCACACAUAUACAACUCACACACCAAGUCACACACACCCUCAUGCAAAUUCACAUGCACACACCCUCCCUCAUUACACAACUCACACACAGACCAACUCACAUGCACACACCCUCACCCCCAAUAACACCUCACACAUGCACAACUCACACACACCAAUGCACAUGUCCACAUUCUCACACACAUCUACAUACAUCCCUGCUUGCACUCACCCUCCCACACACACACUCUCACAUGCACACAUAAACUUACAUACACACCCUCACUCACACACACACACCCCUGCUCACAGACACACACACACUCUCACACAUACACAUACACACACACCCUACCCCCACUGGGCUCAAGGACCCCUCCAGUAUCCUCGGGGCACUGGCCCAGGGGCAGCAGGUGGGGUGAUUUCCCAAAUAGCAGCCCCCAGAGCCCAGGUUCUGCCCCAGAGAAGUUCAAGUCCAGACAGCAGAAGGAUCUCCCUGGAAGCUGAAGACAUUUACAUGAGAAGAACAACUUCCCCAAGUGACUCAGCAUGCACAGAUCACACACACACACACAGACACACACACACGCGGAGGGCUCUCUAG